AUUGAACGCUGGCGGCAUGCCUUACACAUGCAAGUCGAACGGCAGCGCGGGAGCAAUCCUGGCGGCGAGUGGCGAACGGGUGAGUAAUAUAUCGGAACGUGCCCAGUAGUGGGGGAUAGCCCGGCGAAAGCCGGAUUAAUACCGCACACGACCUACGGGUGAAAGGGGGGGAUCGCAAGACCUCUCGCUAUUGGAGCGGCCGAUAUCAGAUUAGGUAGUUGGUGGGGUAAAGGCCCACCAAGCCUACGAUCUGUAGUUGGUCUGAGAGGACGACCAGCCACACUGGGACUGAGACACGGCCCAGACUCCUACGGGAGGCAGCAGUGGGGAAUUUUGGACAAUGGGGGCAACCCUGAUCCAGCAAUGCCGCGUGCAGGAAGAAGGCCUUCGGGUUGUAAACUGCUUUUGUCAGGGAAGAAAUCCCUUGGGUUAAUACCUCGGGGGGAUGACGGUACCUGAAGAAUAAGCACCGGCUAACUACGUGCCAGCCGCCGCCGUAACAC
rnacentral:rRNA from 1 species